AUGACUACUGAAUUCGUGUCAGAAGAGGAGUCCAAGUAUGCGCUCUAAAUCCCACGUGCGUCAUUUCAUAGCGUCUGCUCUGUCCGUAUCCAUAGAAACCGCGAGGAGCGGCUCAGUAGAAGCAGGGACAGCUUAAAAAUAAAUAUUAUUCGAGGCUGAAGAGAUUCAGAGUUCGGUGUUUCGCAAUCCGCUCCACCUCUAUUCUCCCACCUCUUUUAAUAUUUUUUGCCUAGUCACCACUGCCACACUUCAAAAUUGAAGAAUUCCAGAAAGAGCAUUAUCUGAUUGAUGACUCGCCUAUGCGAUUACAAGGCAGCUCGGCGAGCAGCGCGUCGGUCGCUUCCAGGUUAUACGGAACACGGUCUCGUAGAGAUAGUCUUGGUGGAAGCUCUUCAGAAAGUGAUUUAAUUGCAUUUGGAGGUGAUCAGGACGCUCUCAACGAUUUCAGUUCACAAAUGAACCAGCUCAACUCAUUCACGAAGCGUUAUUCGGAGCUCGAGGAGCGUAACAUGUCCCUCUCGGAUGAACGUACCCGCCUCAAAACUGAAAAUUCAGUGCUGAAAGAACGAAUGCACAAUUUGGAGGAACAGUUGACUGAUAAUGAGGAUCGAUUCAAGCAAUUGCUCUCCGAUGAGAAGGCACGUGGAACUGAAUCAAUGUCAAGGUUGAAAAGAGAAAAAGAAUUGGAAACUGAAAGUUGGAAUUUGAAAUAUCAAAUGCUUGAGAAAGAUUUGAUUUCUGUGAAAAAAGAUGCUGAAAGAUCAAAUGAAGAAACAAAGAGAAUUCGAAAUGAAUUGGAGAAGACUGAAAAUAAACUUGAAGAAGCUCAACUUCUUGUAGAAGGAAUGGAAGAAGAACGAAUUCAAUUGGAACGACAAUUCAGAAAAUUCAAAGAAGAAGCUCAGCAAGAUAUUGAUUCCAGCAGUGAAAUGGUUGAAGUGUUGGCUUUGGAAACAGAAGAAUUAAGGAGAAAAGUAGAUGGUCCCCGAUCUGAAAGUAUCUCUGAUCGUGAAGAUAUGCACGAAGAGAUUGAAAUUUUGAAAGCCAAAGUAGCAGAACUAAUGAAAGAAAAAGAAGAAAUGACUGAUCAAUUAUUGGCUACUUCUGUAGAACGGGGAAGAUCUCUCAUUGCCGAUACACCGUCACUUGCUGAUGAACUUGCCGGUGGUGAUUCUUCUCAGCUUCUAGAUGCUCUUCGUGAGCAGGAAAUCUGCAAUCAGAAGCUUCGAGUCUACAUCAAUGGAAUUCUGAUGCGUGUCAUUGAGAGGCAUCCAGAAAUCCUUGAGAUCGGAGAAGAAGGAAUCCUCUCCAAGUUGACGGUGCGCCGGAGAAUCUCAGUCCUCGCCAACGUCGUCGUCAUCAUCGAUUCCAGAAGAGUCAUCAUCACCGACACUUUCAGCAAGAAUCUCCGCCUACCUUCCCUCAUCGUUUCUUCGAUGGGGAUGAAUAGACACAUGACGUCAUCAACGAUUGGCACUCAAUUCCUUGUGACGUGGCAUGCAACAUUUAGUCUUUUUUUUUCUUUUCUCCAUCCCUGUGAUUUUCAAAAUGCUUUACUUCAAAUGUUUCUUUGUACAAUCUCCUCGUUUUUAGUCCCCUUUACCCCCUCCAACAGUAUUUUCGAAUUGCGUGCCACGUCACAGAUAGAUCCCGUUAACGGGUAA
rnacentral:misc_RNA from 1 species